AGACCUGUUGCUGGGGUGCAUUGUAGUUGCAUUGCAUGUGUGUUCAUUGCUGCAAUGUAACUGCAGUGCAGCCCAGAGGCAGGAAC
rnacentral:pre_miRNA from 1 species